GAUGAACGCUGGCGGUAUGCUUAACACAUGCAAGUCGAACGGACUCUUCGGAGUUAGUGGCGGACGGGUGAGUAACGCGUGAGAAUCUGGCUUUGGGUUCGGGACAACCACUGGAAACGGUGGCUAAUACCGGAUGUGCCGAGAGGUAAAAGAGAAAUUGCCUGAAGAUGAGCUCGCGUCUGAUUAGCUAGUUGGUGAGGUAAAGGCUCACCAAGGCAGCGAUCAGUAGCUGGUCUGAGAGGAUGACCAGCCACACUGGGACUGAGACACGGCCCAGACUCCUACGGGAGGCAGCAGUGGGGAAUUUUCCGCAAUGGGCGAAAGCCUGACGGAGCAGUACCGCGUGAGGGAAGAAGGCUCUUGGGGUGUAAACCUCUUUUCUUAGGGAAGAACAAAAUGACGGUACCUAAGGAAUCAGCAUCGGCUAACUCCGUG
rnacentral:rRNA from 1 species